rnacentral:tRNA from 1 species
ACUUAAAUAGCUUAUUAACAGUAGAGCGUAGCAUUGAAGAUGCUAAGGAAAUUAUUUAUUUUUGAGUA